GGGGCGACGUUGUCCCUAAUUACUGGGCGUAAAGGGUGCGUAGGCGGCCAAAUAAGUCAGAUGUGAAAGUCCAAGGCUCAACCAUGGAAUAGCAUUUGAAACUGUAUGGCUUGAGUGCAGGAGAGGAGAGCGGAAUUCCUAGUGUAGCGGUGAAAUGCGUAGAGAUUAGGAAGAACACCAGUGGCGAAGGCGGCUCUCUGGACUGUAACUGACGCUGAGGCACGAAAGCGUGGGUAGCGAACAGGAUUAGAUACCCUGGUAGUCCACGCCGUAAACGAUGAGUGCUAGGUGUCGGGAGGAAUCUCGGUGCCGGAGUUAACACAAUAAGCACUCCGCCUGGGGAGUACGACCGCAAGGUUAAAACUCAAAGGAAUUGACGGGGGCCCGCACAAGCAGCGGAGCAUGUGGUUUAAUUCGAAGCAACGCGAAGAACCUUACCAGGGCUUGACAUCCCUUGACGACCUAAGAGAUUAGGUGUUCUCGUUAUACGGGACAAGGAGACAGGUGGUGCAUGGUUGUCGUCAGCUCGUGUCGUGAGAUGUUGGGUUAAGUCCCGCAACGAGCGCAACCCUUAUAUUUAGUUGCCAGCAAGUAAAGUUGGGCACUCUAAAUAGACUGCCGGCAAGAAGUCGGAGGAAGGUGGGGAUGACGUCAAAUCAUCAUGCCCCUUAUGCCCUGGGCUACACACGUGCUACAAUGGUCUGUACAAAGGGAAGCGAAAGAGUGAUCUGGAGCGAAUCCCAGAAAGCAGAUCUCAGUUCGGAUUGCAGGCUGCAACUCGCCUGCAUGAAGGAGGAGUUGCUAGUAAUCGCGGAUCAGAAUGCCGCGGUGAAUACGUUCCCGGGCCUUGUACACACCGCCCGUCACACCACGAGAGUUGGCAACACCCGAAGUCAGUGAGCCAACCUAGAAAUAGGAGGCAGCUU
rnacentral:rRNA from 2 species